CUUAAUUGGUGCGGUAAUGGAAUAACAAAAUGGAUACUUGAAUUUUUGAAGACCCUUUGCGGAGAAGCAAAAAAACGAAAAUGAAAUUUUAGUAUUAUAAGUAUAAGUUUAUUAUAUUAUAAGUAUAAGUAUAAUUGUGACUUUGAAAAUGUUGUAUUAGAUUAAAGAUGGACUUAACUCAAUUUCCAAAAAUUUUGCACUUAUUGUUCUGCCAGAACAGCGAUUUUGGCUUUGAAGAGGCUGUCCUCUCACCAGUUUUUAACUAACAGGUAUCAGAGGCUGGUUUACGACAACUGUUUGUCAGACAUAGUUCACUUUUAUGCGGCAUAUACAGUUUUAAUUAGGUUGAAAUGCAAAACGUACUAGGCAAUUCAGUAACGCGCAUGAGCUUCUAAGAAAUCGGGCCGAUAAAAAAGUUGCAGCACGUUUUAUUUCGCACCGACUCGACAGUCGGUGUUACAAAGCACAAGCUCCUACCGGUGCUCGAUACGGAAAGGAUUAAAUUCGAGAAAACCAUAUUUUCUGUACAAAGAGGCUUACAUUGAAAAACUUAUUUGCGAAGUAUAGAAAAUGCGACGUUCAUAUGAAACAACAGCCAGCUAUUGAGACGGAAACAUAAAGAUAAAGCUUUCAAAGGAAGUGUAUGUACAACUACGACUUUGUGUGCUGCUAAAAAACGCAGGAAAUGCGUUCACUUUGACCAGUUGCUCUUCUUGCCGUAUAUGUAUAUCAUGUCAUUCCUGGAGAAGCAGUGUACGUUUCGACACUAAAGAGAACCGACAAAUUUCAACCGAAGGCAAGAAAAACAUGUUAAUAAUUCUGAAGCGAAGUAGUAUAGUCCAAUACGACCUUAAAAUAAUAUUGGUUAGGUCACCCCAUAUUAAAUGGGAAGGGAGGAAAAAUGGGGAACUAUGCGAACUAUGUGAAUUUACAAACGACAAAGAAUGAACAGCAAAGGUCUUGAAGAUUCCUACACUCAAAAGAGAAAUAGCCAGCAAUGCCUUACGAGGAAACCAUUGGGGCUGUUGUCUUGGCUAGGACGGGAGUGUGGGAAGAAAGUGGUUAAACAUAUUCUUACCCUCCAGAAAUACGGUUUAUGGAAGUUCGGAAAUGGUUUAUAAACAAAAGAAAUGACUGGUAGAAAUUGGCUCAACCUCUUCUUAGAUUGUAAUCCUUCACUAAUUGUGAAUAGAGAAAAUAUUUCCAAAUAUUGUGACCUAAUGCAGGAUACAUUUGUUAAGUUUGAUUUAGUAAACAAAUCGUUGAUGACUCGGGACUAUGAACAAUGUAACAAUAAACCUGGACAUAUCUUGGCUGUUAAGGUUUCCAGAAAUGUUGUUAAUGUUACAUCCGGUGAAAUCUCUGUCAUUGUUGGCUGGUUGAGAGAUUAAUUUUUGAUAAGAAGACCCGAGGGCAGAGCUAUUGUCACAUUAAUUGGCCACGGCUCCCACUGCAACUUGAACUUUCCCCUUCAAUUCGCGUGCUAUUUGCAAUUUUGACGAAAAUUCUCAAAUUCAAGGUACAAGUUGUCCACAACCAAGUUCCUCUAAGAUUACUGAUUCAUCAAGUAUCAAUUGGCACAACUGAGACACAAGAAGAAGAUGAAUUUAAUUCUCCAACAAAAAAGGGAAUGUGUCGAAAGGAAGGAAAAGAACCAACAGUGGAAAAGCGCAAACAAAGAAGUCUUGCAAGGUAAGGUUUUGGAAGCAGACGCGGAAGAAUAAUGAUUCAGAUACUGAGUCGAAAGAAUAACUUGCGAAAAUGGCAAAAAAGAUUAAUUGAAUAGCAUAUGUAUGACGGAAGAUUGUACACAAUUGGUGUUGUCCAUGCGGAAGCAAAAAAAAAAACGUUCAAGAGGGUUCACCUUCUGACCAUCUUGCCCAUCACUAUCUAACCCAGAGUAUGUGGGAGAGAUGAGAUUUAUUAUUUGCAAAUGUAAAAAUAAUCUAAUUUUUGUUUUAUAAAACACACAGAAAAACUACAGGUGUUUCAAAUUUUGUUCGCAAACACAAAACGAGAUUCUGAGUUUGAAUA